rnacentral:rRNA from 1 species
UACGUAGGGGGCAAGCGUUGUCCGGAUUUAUUGGGCGUAAAGAGCGUGUAGGCGGUCAGGUAGGUCCGUUGUGAAAACUCGAGGCUCAACCUCGAGACGCCGAUGGAAACCAUCUGACUAGAGUCCGGAAGAGGAGAGUGGAAUUCCUGGUGUAGCGGUGAAAUGCGCAGAUAUCAGGAAGAACACCCGUGGCUAAGGCGGCUCUCUAGUACGGUACUGACGCUGAGACGCGAAAGCGUGGGGGAGCGAACAGG